UACGUAGGUGGCUAGCGUUGUCCGGAUUUACUGGGCGUAAAGAGCGCGCAGGCGGUCGUUCAAGUCGAGUGUGAAAGCCCCCGGCUCAACUGGGGAGGGUCACUCGAUACUGGUCGACUCGAAGGCAGGAGAGGGAAGCGGAAUUCCCGGUGUAGUGGUGAAAUGCGUAGAUAUCGGGAGGAACACCAGUGGCGAAGGCGGCUUUCUGGCCUGUUCUUGACGCUGAGGCGCGAAAGCUAGGGGAGCAAACGGG
rnacentral:rRNA from 1 species